UACGAAGGGGGCUAGCGUUGUUCGGAAUUACUGGGCGUAAAGCGCGCGCAGGCGGUCUUCCAAGUCAGUGGUGAAAGCCCGGAGCUCAACUCCGGAACUGCCAUUGAAACUGUUAGACUUGAGGAUGAGAGAGGUGAGUGGAAUUCCCAGUGUAGAGGUGAAAUUCGUAGAUAUUGGGAAGAACACCGGUGGCGAAGGCGGCUCACUGGCUCGUAACUGACGCUCAUGCACGACAGCGUGGGGAUCAAACGGG
rnacentral:rRNA from 1 species